UGAAAGGGGGUCGGGGUGCACAUGGCUUCUGAAGUGAGAACAACCGGACUGGAAAUGGAGCAGCCAGCAAGAACCAAGAUCAGACUUUUUUUUUUAAGUGGUGCAGGGGAUCAAACCCAGGCCAUCAACGACGCCAGAGUGGUAGAUGCAGGUGGAGCUGCUGCUGAGGGGGAGAAGCCUGGCCCAGGCACCACACCUAUCUGGGUGGCAG
rnacentral:lncRNA from 1 species